rnacentral:misc_RNA from 1 species
UGGUGAACCAGCGGAGGGAUCAUUAAAGAGUUGCAAAACUCCCUAAACCAUUGUGAACAUACCUUCAACGUUGCUUCGGCGGGUUGGCUCCGGGUCUCCCGGGGCCCCCGGCCCUACUCGGGCGCCCGCCGGAGGUAUCUAACUCUUGACAAUUGUAUGGCCUCUCUGAGUCUUUGUACUUAAUAAGUCAAAACUUUCAACAACGGAUCUCUUGGUUCUGG